rnacentral:rRNA from 1 species
AUACGUAUGUCGCAAGCGUUAUCCGGAUUUAUUGGGCGUAAAGCGCGUCUAGGCGGCUUAGUAAGUCUGAUGUGAAAAUGCGGGGCUCAACCCCGUAUUGCGUUGGAAACUGCUAAACUAGAGUACUGGAGAGGUAGGCGGAACUACACGUGUAGAGGUGAAAUUCGUAGAUAUUUGUAGGAAUGCCGAUGGGGAAGCCAGCCUACUGGACAGAUACUGACGCUAAAGCGCGAAAGCGUGGGUAGCAAACAGGAUUAGAUACCCUGGUAGUCCACGCCGUAAACGAUGAUUACUAGGUGUUGGGGGUCGAACCUCAGCGCCCUAGCUAACGCGAUAAGUAAUCCGCCUGGGGAGUACGUACGCAAGUAUGAAACUCAAAUGAAUUGGCGGGG